CGGGGCGGCGUUAAUCGGAUUACUGGGCGUAAAGCGCAUGCAGGUGGUUUGUUAAGUCAGAUGUGAAAGCCCGGGGCUCAACCUCGGAAUAGCAUUUGAAACUGGCAGACUAGAGUACUGUAGAGGGGGGUAGAAUUUCAGGUGUAGCGGUGAAAUGCGUAGAGAUCUGAAGGAAUACCGGUGGCGAAGGCGGCCCCCUGGACAGAUACUGACACUCAGAUGCGAAAGCGUGGGGAGGCAAACAGGAUUAGAUACCCUGGUAGUCCACGCCGUAAACGAUGUCUACUUGGAGGUUGUGGCCUUGAGCCGUGGCUUUCGGAGCUAACGCGUUAAGUAGACCGCCUGGGGAGUACGGUCGCAAGAUUAAAACUCAAAUGAAUUGACGGGGGCCCGCACAAGCGGUGGAGCAUGUGGUUUAAUUCGAUGCAACGCGAAGAACCUUACCUACUCUUGACAUCCAGAGAACUUUCCAGAGAUGGAUUGGUGCCUUCGGGAACUCUGAGACAGGUGCUGCAUGGCUGUCGUCAGCUCGUGUUGUGAAAUGUUGGGUUAAGUCCCGCAACGAGCGCAACCCUUAUCCUUGUUUGCCAGCGAGUAAUGUCGGGAACUCCAGGGAGACUGCCGGUGAUAAACCGGAGGAAGGUGGGGACGACGUCAAGUCAUCAUGGCCCUUACGAGUAGGGCUACACACGUGCUACAAUGGCGCAUACAGAGGGCAGCAAGCUAGCGAUAGUGAGCGAAUCCCAAAAAGUGCGUCGUAGUCCGGAUUGGAGUCUGCAACUCGACUCCAUGAAGUCGGAAUCGCUAGUAAUCGUGGAUCAGAAUGCCACGGUGAAUACGUUCCCGGGCCUUGUACACACCGCCCGUCACACCA
rnacentral:rRNA from 1 species